GGAAGAUUUAAACGUUCAUUUGGUAGCUAGCUCCUGUUCCAAUUCAAGCUCCUUUGUGUAAGAAAGCCAAUCCCAAUUUCCAUGUAAUUAAUAAAAAAAUACUAAUAGUAAAAAUUAACAUCAAUAAAAACAAAAAUAAAUGUUCCGAUACCCAAAAAUAAAAGUGUGUGAACCAGUACACAAUCUCACCAGAGCUUUUCCCACAUGGGAGAAAGAGAGAGAGAGAGAGAGAGAGAGAUUUGAUACAGCAAACCCUUUACACAUUUAACCCUUGAGCUGGAAGCAUUCAGAAUACAUGAGAUUGGAAGAGACAUAUCUGUUGCUACUAUAAAGUUUUUUCCAGUACACCAAGGAUUAACACUCUUUCGAAAACACACAAAUAAUGAAAUAGGAUGGUGAAUAACUGAAUAUGUAAACCCUCAAGGCUUCGGGCGUUUGUUUAACAACCAGUCUUCAACAUCUUGCACCAUAGAGAGAUGGAACUCCUACAAUGAACAGUAACACACUACUUGCGAUUUUUGCACUUCGCCAUGGCUCGGGG